GUGGGGAAUAUUGCGCAAUGGGGGAAACCCUGACGCAGCAACGCCGCGUGAGUGAUGAAGGCCCUCGGGUCGUAAAGCUCUGUCGGCAGGAACGAUGGUGUGUGUCUUUAAUACAGGCAUGCAUUGACGGUACCUGCAAAGGAAGCACCGGCUAACUCUGUGCCAGCAGCCGCGGUAAGACAGAGGGUGCAAGCGUUGUUCGGAAUUAUUGGGCGUAAAGGGCGCGUAGGCGGCCCAUCAAGUCGAAUGUGAAAGCCCAGGGCUCAACCUUGGAAGUGCAUCCGAAACUGAUGAGCUAGAGUUCACGGAGAGGGUGGUGGAAUUCCCAGUGUAGAGGUGAAAUUCGUAGAUAUUGGGAGGAACACCGGUGGCGAAGGCGACCACCUGGACGGAAACUGACGCUGAGGCGCGAAAGCGUGGGUAGCAAACAGG
rnacentral:rRNA from 1 species